GUUUCUUCCGCUGGGGUCGUGCCUUGCUACGACUUUGUCGUGGUCUUUCCCUUGUGCGUUGGAAGGCUUCCUCUAGGACUUUUCCUCACCUCUUCAGGGGAGCUGGCGACCGAUCUGAUUGGUAGAACUGGGAAGAAUGAACUGGGAAUGCUCCAUUGAACUCAGGCCCUUUCUUUUUAGGGGUGACUUGUGUCCCACUCGCACCUGCCCCCCCAGCAAUGUCUUAGACCGGGCUCUGUGCUGCUGAGGGUGAUGCAAAGCCCCAUCCGUCUCUGUCUCUCCGAGCGCCUGAUGCCCAGCUGAUGAUUAAGAACACGGGGUGGACGGGCGGCUCCCUAGCUUACCCAGCUGCCGCUUGGCCUCUGCCCAGGUGGGCUCAUUGCCUCGGAGAAUCAUGACUGCCUGCAACACCAUCUCCACUUGGGCAGGCGGCCGUCCGUAAGACUUGAUCUCUCCGAUAUCCUUCUUGUUCAGAGACUCCAGGGCCUGGGGAAAGAGAUGAACUUGGGGAGCAGAAUCAGCUCAAGGGGCCAGACCGGUCCUUGAUGGAGACAGGACCCAGCUGCAGCGCCCUCUUGUCCCCACCUCUCCAAGGACUUGAAGAACAAAGAAGGCAGCCCCAUUCCCCUCCUGGGCCCUCCCUCCAGUCCCUGUACCCGCAUGGCCUCUUCCAGGGCUGGCAAUGCCUCUUCUAGAUCCUUCUGGGCAUUGUCAGCCAGGGCCUGGCACUUGACUUCCUCAAUCGCAAUCUUCUCACUAUUGGCUGUGACGGCCUGGGGAUGAAAAGAAGAUGAGGGUUUGCCUGCACCUUGAGCAAAAGCAGCUGGUAACGAUGAAAGAGAAGGCUAAAGAAAACGUGAGGCAUGGACCACGCAGCCCCCGCCUUGGUGACGGCGGUGGAGGCGGGGCCCCCCGUCUGCGGGGAGCAGGGGGUGCGAGGGGCAGGACCCGUGCUGGGCGGGGGCACCUUCUGCUGCUCAUCCGCCUCCCGCUUCUGCUGCACAAUGAUGACCAGGUACUCCUCACACUGCUUCUGGAACUCGGCCACCUUUUUCUUGGCAUCCUCCAGCUCCAGCGACAUCACUUCCACCUUUUCCCUGGUUUCAUCGAUCUUAAACAACCCGGUCCGCAGCUUAUUGGCCUGGUCCAGCAGCUCCUGCCGCUUCUCUGCCAGCAACCUGGGGGACCGAGUAGGGAGAGGUGCCUGGGGGGGCUGGGCCCCCGGGAAGGAGAGGCCCACAGUCUCCCCUCCCAGCGCGGCUCCGGUCCCUGCCUGCCUGCCUGUUGCCACCACCACCACCUCCCUAGUCAGAGUUUUAUCAUUUCCUGCCUGGAUCCUUGCCGACAGCCUCCCAACUGGUCUUCCUGCUUCCAGACUCUUGUCCUUCGGAUUUAUUCUACGCACCACUGUCACCACACACGCUGUCAGAAGGAGCUUGCUAGCUACUGUUUUCAUCACACUACUUCCCUACUUGAGACUCCGCCACCGUCCCCCGCUGUGCAGCAGGCAGGGGGGCUGCAAUGAACCAGAAAACACAAACCUCUUCCAAGGGGGCGGCCGUCGCUGGGCUCCAGCCUGGUUUUUUAUUUUCCCUUUGAGAAUGAAUGUGGGCUCAGUACUGCCACAAUUUCUGAUUUUUUAAGAGGCUGGAAAUCUGGAUUUUUCCAAGGCUCUCACGUUUUAAAUGUUGGCAACUCGUUCCACACGUUUUAACACUGCACCAGCCAAGAAAAGAAUGUCUCUGCAGGGUUGUUUUCUGGACUAAGUAAGAAAACGCACGUAAAGGGUAACUUAGCACAGGGACUGGGGACAGUAAACAGGAUGUGAGCCCAUGUACCCAGGAAAGGCAAGGACUUUAUUUGAUUUUUUUUAAAUGUUCUCACUGAUGGAAUCAAAUUUCAUUUCACUUCAUUUAUUUUUGUGGCUGCUCCUGUGGCUUAUGGAAAUUUCUGGGCCAGGGAUCAAACCUGCACCAGAGCAGCAACCAGAGCCCCAGCAAUGAUGAUGCUGGAUCCUUAGCCCGCUGAGCCACCAGGGAACCCCAAGGACUCUAUUUUGUCGAUGGUAUAUAUAUUAUGAGUACCCGGAAUAGUGCCCGGCACACAGCAGGUGCUCAAAACACAUGUUAAAUGAACAAAUUAAUAUUGGUCAUCAGUAUUUAUUACAAAAGGCUUUUUCUUCACCUAGAUUAAAAUACUAAAUC
rnacentral:lncRNA from 1 species